AAACCGUUCAGGGGUAAACCUAAGAAACCCAAAAGAUCGAACGGGGAGAUUCAUCGUCAGCGGCGCUGGCUUCGCGUCGGUGGGCGAUGUCCCGCUGAGCCGUUCGCGGUUCGAGCGCGGGCACGCUACCGUGCGUCGAUGUCCGGCGAUCGUCGUCGUGCACUUCUCCCCUAGUAGAACGUCGCGACCCGCCGGGUGUCGGUCUACGGCCCGAGUGCGGCGACUGUCGCGUCGCCGGUAAAACGGCACGCGGCAGACCCUCGGUCGCCCGACCGGCUGCCCGACGGUACACGCAAGGUAUCAGGCCGCAUGCGUGCGUGCGUCGAGACCGCCGCAAGCGCGCGCCCACGGUACACGGUGGUACGGACCCAGCGCCGUCCCCUGUCCUGGCCCGCUGUUGGUAGCGCGGUACACACCACACCUUCGACAGGCCUUCGAACGUGCUCUCUCCUCUUCGCGGRGGCGGGAGUUCGCGGAUACCGGUCGGCGACGCUACAGCUUUGGGUACUCUCAGGA
rnacentral:rRNA from 1 species